rnacentral:tRNA from 1 species
GCGGGAAUAGCUCAGUUGGUAGAGCACGACCUUGCCAAGGUCGGGGUCGCGAGUUCGAGCCUCGUUUCCCUCU